CAGAAUUCUCAAGGAAACAUCACAAUAUAGCUAAUGACCAACCAAAUUAAUUUAAGCUAUUAUGACAAUUAAAGUAACACGACCACAAAUACAAGACAACAUUAAGACAAAAUAAAAUAAAAUACUAGACACCAACACUAUUACAAACAACUAUCUAACAAAGUUAAAUUAAUUUAAAUGCAAAACCAAAUUAGAGAAACUAAAAAGCAAUUAAUCCUACUAUGCAAAUUAAUUCAAAACAAAGAAAUAAACACACACGCUUUUUCCUACACAUCCCAUGUGACCCCAUGCACACCAACUAAAGAAAUUGAAAUUGAAAAUGGCCCACAUGACAUUCUUGUACGUAGGCCUCAUGCACCAAAAUCCCAUUUAUUCUCUUCCUUCAGCAAACCAAUUAAUGUGUUGCUCCCUUUUAUUCCAUGUGCUUCACUCUCCAAGUCAAACCUUGCUUUCCACACUUUUCUACCAUGAAAACCGUGCUUUUCGGAAAUCAACACACUCCCAAAGCCAAAUUGCCGAGACCAAACUUCCUCCUUAUUGCAAACGUGACUCCAAAAACCAAAAGCCAAAUGAAGAUGCUUUGAAUGCUUCUCCCAAGGUACCACAUGUGCAAAGUCAAAGGGGAUAAAAACAAUCACAAUACAUUCUAUCCUUAUUGCAAUUCUCGGUGAUAAGCUAGCAAAGGAUGACCACCAAAAUAGGAAAUAUUCCUUCUAUGAAAAUGUGCUUCAUAUUGUGCUUGUCCAAAGGAGGUAAAAAUUAAAUGCACCCUUUUCUCUCACUUCCAACCUCAAUUUCGGUUUCUCCACCAUCACAAACAUUCAAAUGCUUUCCUUCACAUCUCAAUACCGAGAAUGAACCCCAAGAAACCCAAAGUUCUAUUGCAAAAUAAUACAAGAGCACCAAACUCAAAGUCUACCUUCUUCAAACCAACUUCAAACUCUGUUUUCUUCAAACUUUUCAUGAAUCAAAAUGGAAUCCCUAGCUCUCUUUGUUGCACCGUCCAACCAUCAUCAACAACAAAAUGCUCCAGCUCAUAAUUUACUUCCCACCAUCAAAACAAAAGCCCAAGAAGAAAAUGGUUCAAACCUCAACACCCACACACAAACUCAAGCUUUCUUCACUACCAAACUUAACAAGAACUUCAUUUUCAUGAUUCAACCAAGAAAUGAAAACUGUGAGAGCUGCAGCAAAAGAGAAGGAAAAACGCAAAUAGCUCUUCAUUCAAACCAAAGAACCACCAUGAAAAUGCAAGAAGAACCCUUCAAGCUCAUACUUCCAACUUCAAAGAACAAGAAAUAAAAGGGGAAAUGGGGCGCUUUUUCACCACCACCAAGCAAUGUGAUACGAGACGCCUGAGGAGCUGACCGACAUGCGCGAUGCAAAAGCUCCUUCCAGCUUCUCCGACGAGGGAUACGCAGCGGAAAUGAUAAAACACGAAGAACUCUAAAAACCCUAGGAUGACCUAUGGAACCCUAGAAAAGAGGGGAAACUGGAUUUGGACCGAUUAAACGGUGGGAAUGGUGUUUUAAUCGGUGGAGAUGGAAGAUAGAGUAUGAAGAAUUCGAGCUAUGAUGAAGAUGCGCUUGGAAGGACGAAACCCUAGCAGAGGAUUUGUUUCGUAGCAGAGGAAGACGCAAAUGAUUUGUGUCUAAGGUGUGAGAAUGAAGAGGCCGCGUAGGAAAAUAAGGUGGAACCACGCGGCUGAAGUUGAGUAGCGUACGGUGGUGUCUAGGUGGCGGAGAGAGAAACUGAUGGAAAAUGAGAGAAUGAGGUAGUGUGCUGGAAGGUGGCUAGAGGAGGUCCCUUGGACUCUCUAGCCUGACUUUCAAGGGAGAAUUAUUUUCUUAUUUAGAAAACUAAAUUCUCAUUAAGCUCAAAAGUAAUUACAAGAUGUGUUAGCAUGCCUAUAUAUAGGUCACAUGCCUAACACAAUACAAAGUACAUAAAAGAAAAACUAUACUAAAGACAUUGGGCUUUGGGCCCGCGUAUCACGAUGACAACCAAGAUUCAAGCAAGAGAAGAAGAAAAAUGCAUCAUUGAUUCAUUGAACCUCAAAAACCAUGGCACACCCAAGCUCUCCAUGAGAGUUCAUACAAAACCUAAAAAUGAAGUGUAAAGUGUGCUUGAAUGUGAGUGUUCGGUCUUCCCACACCAAAUACCGAGAGAGUCACUAAAAAUGGUGGGGUCCAUCUCUAAAAGAAAUCAUAAAGUCUUUGCCAAGUGUCCCACACAUUGGGCUUCUACAAAAUUGCCACUGAAAACGACCUAAUACACAAAAUCCUAAUUAAAGUUUCUAGAAAACUAAGUUACAACUUAAUUAAAAUUGAAAUGACUAAAUGUUGAGUCUUCAAUGUGCACGCCACC
rnacentral:lncRNA from 1 species